rnacentral:rRNA from 1 species
UACGUAGGGUGCGAGCGUUGUCCGGAAUUAUUGGGCGUAAAGGGCUCGUAGGUGGUUUGGCGCGUCGGGAGGUAAAACCUUGGGCUUAACUCAGGGCUUGCUUUCGAUACGGGCAGACUAGAGGUAUGCAGGGGAGAACGGAAUUCCUGGUGUAGCGGUGAAAUGCGCAGAUAUCGGGAGGAACACCGGUGGCGAAGGCGGUUCUCUGGGCCUGUACUGACGCUGAGGAGCGAAAGCGUGGGGAGCGAACAGG